rnacentral:rRNA from 1 species
GACGAACGCUGGCGGCGUGCUUAACACAUGCAAGUCGAACGGUGAAGCAGAGCUUGCUCUGUGGAUCAGUGGCGAACGGGUGAGUAACACGUGAGUAACCUGCCCUUGACUCUGGGAUAAGCGUUGGAAACGACGUCUAAUACCGGAUACGAACCUCAACCGCAUGGUUAGGGGUUGGAAAGAUUUUUUGGUCAAGGAUGGACUCGCGGCCUAUCAGCUUGUUGGUGAGGUAAUGGCUCACCAAGGCGACGACGGGUAGCCGGCCUGAGAGGGUGACCGGCCACACUGGGACUGAGACACGGCCCAGACUCCUACGGGAGGCAGCAGUGGGGAAUAUUGCACAAUGGGCGCAAGCCUGAUGCAGCAACGCCGCGUGAGGGAUGACGGCCUUCGGGUUGUAAACCUCUUUUAGUAGGGAAGAAGCGAAAGUGACGGUACCUGCAGAAAAAGCACCGGCUAACUACGUGCCAGCCGCCGCCGUAACAC